GCGCGUUCACGGACCCUGCGCGCCCAGUCCCCGGGGCCACAGGCCAAGCCCGGCGCAGCCAGCACCCUCAGGAGGCCGGAGCGCCUUCCGCUUUCGCCAAAGGACUGAAACCACCCUCCUCCGGUGGCUCUCAGAUCCAGCACAGGCCAUGGGUCCCGCCGUCAACCCCGUGCCCAGACAAGAGCCCCUCUGUGCCCGGGGGUGGAGGGGACUCCAGGAAGCCCCCAGCCUUCCAGGCACAGGGAGCAGCUGGUGAUGUGUCUGUAGCGCCCCCCGCCCCCCGCCCCCUGCCCGGCUCAGGGGCACAGCAGGUGCUCGUCCACCUUGGAGGGCUUGGUGUCGGGGAUGGCGGUGGAGGACAAGACCGGUGGAUCACAAGCCCCCGAAGAGGAGGGAUGGGGCGGCAGGGCCCACAAGGAGCCCCAGCACCGGCUUGGGCCAGUCACAGCUGGUCCUGAACCCCGACUCCGGACGGGGCCGAGCGGGCCUCCCAGGCAGCUGGAAGGCCGCUGCCCCUGGCUGCUCUCAGCCGCAGGCCGCACAGCCACUCCAGGCAGAGCCUCAGGACCGUGGCAGGAGCCUGAGAAGAGCCAGGAUGAGGCCACCUCCCCGGCCAGCUGCCAGGGGCCAUGUCCAGAGCGUCCUCGCCCUCACUGGUCUUCCACGGAGCCCCCCGGCCUGGCUCAGUGAAGGCUCAAGCCUCCAUCUGCGCCUGUCCUCACCGGAGGCUGCGCCACAGGCAGCCCCAGGGCCCACACACGGCAGGACCGACGUGAACACUGACCACUUAGCCCGGCGGAGGCCCGGCCAGCGGCAGCGUGCACUUGGCUGUCGGCUUCCGGAACGUCAUCCUCACUCGGCAGCGCCGCGGCCCCCGGCACGACCCCAGGCCUCGCUGCCACCACGCCCGGGAGGCGCGGCAUGGACCAGCAGGGCCCUGGGCUGCCCCCUCGCACAGGAGCCGCUGCCACCCAUGGAGCCGAGGCCCCUGAGGCAGGACCGCGCCUGGUGGGCUGGACAAAGGGGGGUUUAAGAAUUGGUCUUUGCUCCACUGAAGCGCUGUUUCUGCUCUUCUGUCACCCGAAGGAGGGGGCCAGGCGCACAGACGGCGGC